rnacentral:lncRNA from 1 species
UUCAUUUGAAAGCAAAUUGUUAACAACUAGUACUAUUCAAAAAUAAUCAAUAAAAUAUUCUAUUUUCUCAUAAAAUAAAUUUUUAUAGAAAUAUUCGUAAAUAAUUUUUUGCACAUGAAAGUAAAGUAAAAAUUGUAUGAAUAGAAAUACAGAUAACCAAAAUAUAAGUUUUGAUCUGCAAUGACACGUGGGCUCCAAUUGACCAAGAGGAUGUAAGACUGUGAACUCUUACUUUCUAUAAUGCAGUUCCGAGCUUAGUUCUCGUCCUACUCGACUAUCUACAAACUGUCCUGAGCCUGAAAAAUGUAUAGGAAGAAGGGGUGAGAUUUUAUAAUCCCAGUGAGUAAACAGAUACCAUCUAAAGUAUCUAAAGCCGAGUAAAUGGAGACAAUUAAAAUAAGUCAUCAUACUGUAAUUUCAUUACCUUUCAGUUCAUUUCAACCAAAUAAAAUCAAUCCAUAUAAAUCGAGUAAUCAACUUGGCUUAUGAAUUUCUUAAACCUUUGGCUCGUGCCAAAACUCAUACUCGGUGAUAGCUUGCGUAAGGCAUCCAACCGAGUCUGCCAAGGCUGUUAAAAUUUUGUAUACACUUAAAAUAUAUUUUUAGUUUGAGAAAAAUACAGUCGUUCCUUAGCGUUGGCUGAGUUCCCCUUCACGUGGUGGUUUGGCGUGAAGUGAACCCUAAGCUUUACCCCAGGAGAUACCCUAUGCGCCUCUCCGUUCGAGGUAAUAAUAUAAUGGAGUUUACCGUGCCCCUCUAAUAGGCUGGUCCACGGAACCCCCUCUGUAGUAACUAAUUAAUAUAUAAUCCACCAAUCAAUAAAAUUCAUUCUAGCAUGACAUGGCAAUUUAUCGCAACCUAGCCUCUCAAGGCUGAAUACACAAUAUAAAUAAUUAUAACACCAAAAUCAGUUUAGCCAUUCAUGCUCAUUUAUUUUCAUAAGCCAUUCAAUUCAAAACCAUAAAUUUGCAACACAAGCAGACAAUCUCCAAUUACUUUAUUUUCAAAACCAAUAUUUGAUUUUCUAGAAAAUUUAUAAAAUCAUUUUAUAAAAUCACAAUUUCUCUUAAAACAUAGCAAUUUACCAUUUAAACCCAUUUUCCAUAAAAUCACACAGUUGUAUAAAACUACUCUAGAUAAUUAAGACGAUAAUAAGUUCACUCACAGUAUUAGGAGUAGAAAUACUUCUAUCUUCCGCCCUCGAGUGCAGUCUCUUACCCAAAACAAUUGACUCACCACCUAUCCAUAAUCCAUGACACAAAAUUCAGUAAAUUGUGUCAAUUUAUCAUAAAUUAUUUCAAGCUCUUAUCCAUGCGUAUGCAGUAGAUAGGAUUUGAAAUAUCUAGACAAUCGCUUAAUUGCGAUGUCCGACCUAACUCGCCUAUACACGGUGUAAAUUCCU